rnacentral:rRNA from 1 species
GUGAACGCUGGCGGUAGGCCUAACCCAUGCAAGUCGAACGGCAGCACCGUAAGCGCUUGCUCUUACGGGUGGCGAGUGGCGGACGGGUGAGGAAUACAUCGGAAUCUACUUUUUCGUGGGGGAUAACGUAGGGAAACUUACGCUAAUACCGCAUACGACCUACGGGUGAAAGCAGGGGAUCUUCGGACCUUGCGCGAUUGAAUGAGCCGAUGUCGGAUUAGCUAGUUGGCGGGGUAAAGGCCCACCAAGGCGACGAUCCGUAGCUGGUCUGAGAGGAUGAUCAGCCACACUGGAACUGAGACACGGUCCAGACUCCUACGGGAGGCAGCAGUGGGGAAUAUUGGACAAUGGGCGCAAGCCUGAUCCAGCCAUACCGCGUGGGUGAAGAAGGCCUUCGGGUUGUAAAGCCCUUUUGUUGGGAAAGAAAAGCAGCAGGUUAAUACCCCGCUGUUCUGACGGUACCCAAAGAAUAAGCACCGGCUAACUUCGUG